CUCAUACUCCCUCCGUCCCAAAAUUAUUAUCUUAGAUUUACCAAAAUACGGACGUACCUAGUCACAUUUUAGUGUUAGAUACAUUUGUAUCUUGACAAAUCUAAGACAAGAAUUUUAGGACGGAGAUAGUAUCAU
rnacentral:pre_miRNA from 1 species